rnacentral:rRNA from 1 species
GACGAACGCUGGCGGCGUGCUUAACACAUGCAAGUGGAGCGACGAACCGGGGCUUGCCCCGGGGCAGAGCCGCGAACGGGUGAGUAACACGUGGGUAACCCACCCCGAUGAUUGGGACAACCCGGGGAAACUCGGGCUAAUACCAAAUGUGCUCGGCGACCAUGAGGUCUCCAAGUAAAGAUAGCUUCGGCCUUCGCAUCGGGACGGGCCCGCGGCCCAUUAGCUUGUUGGUGAGGUAACGGCUCACCAAGGCUGCGAUGGGUAGCUGGUCUGAGAGGACGAUCAGCCACACUGGGACUGAGACACGGCCCAGACUCCUACGGGAGGCAGCAGUGGGGAAUCUUGGACAAUGGGCGCAAGCCUGAUCCAGCCAUGCCGCGUGAGUGAUGAAGGCCUUAGGGUUGUAAAGCUCUUUCACCGGAGAAGAUAAUGACGGUAUCCGGAGAAGAAGCCCCGGCUAACUUCGUGC